CCUUGGGGGCUCUGUGACCCUCUUCGGGUUUCCUCCCAGGCGGGGGUGGGGUGCCAUCUGCAGCUGGGAAGCAGGUUUAUUUUACGGUCUCUCAGGCUUCAGGGGUGGGUCCUCCCUGAGAGGCAGGUUUUUGUGGGGCUUCUCCAGCUAAAGUGACUCCCUCCAGGUAUUAAGUUAAAAACCUCGUGGUACGACCCUGCGGUCCCCACCCUCCUAGGCCCCAACCCCGAGGCGGUGGGGGCGGGAAGGCCGCGCGCCCGCGCGCGCCGCUUCCGCUCCUCCAGCCCGCCAGAGGGCGCUGCGGCCCCGCCUCGUCCUUCCCGAGGCGCCUCGCGCCGGGCCCCUUCCGCGUGGGUGAGUGAAUGUGAGAGUCAGCGCCGCGCCGCGCUCGCCGUCCGCCUCCGCCGCCCGGCGCUCUCCCUCCGGCUGCCUGGGGCGGGCGCGCGCGUCAAGCCAUAGAGACGGGCGUUGAGCUCCCGGGCUAGAGCGUCGCCGAGUCGGAGCCGGAGCCGGAGCCGCGCGCUGUGUCUCCGCUGCGUCCGCCGAGGCCCAGAGUGUCAGGGACAAAAGCCGCCGCCGCGCCGCUUGCUCCCGCCGCUGGGGCUCAUCCGCCGCCGCCGACGCUCUGAGGAGAGCCCGCCGCCGCCGCCGCCCGCGAGGAUCCGAGAGCCAUGUCGGCCAGCAGCCUCCUGGAGCAGAGACCCAAAGGUCAAGGAAACAAAGUACAAAAUGGAUCUGUACAUCAAAAGGAUGGACUAAAUGAUGAUGAUUUUGAACCUUACUUGAGCCCCCAGGCAAGGCCCAAUAAUGCAUAUACUGCCAUGUCAGAUUCCUACCUACCCAGUUACUACAGUCCCUCCAUUGGCUUCUCCUAUUCUUUGGGUGAAGCUGCUUGGUCCACUGGGGGUGACACAGCCAUGCCCUAUCUAACUUCUUAUGGACAACUGAGCAACGGAGAGCCUCACUUCCUACCAGAUGCAAUGUUUGGACAGCCAGGAGCCCUUGGUAGCACUCCGUUUCUUGGUCAGCAUGGUUUUAAUUUCUUUCCCAGUGGUAUUGACUUCUCAGCUUGGGGAAAUAGCAGUUCUCAGGGACAGUCUACUCAGAGCUCUGGAUAUAGUAGCAAUUAUGCUUAUGCACCUAGCUCCUUAGGUGGAGCCAUGAUUGAUGGACAGUCUGCUUUCGCCAGUGAGACCCUCAAUAAAGCUCCUGGCAUGAAUACUAUAGACCAAGGGAUGGCAGCACUGAAGUUGAGUAGCACAGAAGUUGCAAGCAAUGUUCCAAAAGUUGUAGGCUCUGCUGUUGGUACUGGGUCCAUUACUAAUAACAUUGUGGCUUCUAAUAGUUUGCCUCCAGCUACCAUUGCUCCUCCAAAACCAGCAUCUUGGGCUGAUAUUGCUAGCAAGCCUGCUAAACAGCAACCUAAGUUGAAGGCAAAGAAUGGCAUCGCAGGGUCAAGUCUUCCACCACCCCCGAUAAAGCAUAACAUGGAUAUUGGAACUUGGGAUAACAAGGGUCCUGUGGCAAAAGCCCCCUCACAGGCUUUGGUUCAGAAUAUAGGUCAGCAGCCAGCCCAGGGGUCUCCCCAGCCUGUUGGUCAACAGGCUAACAAUAGCCCACCAGUGGCUCAAGCAUCAGUAGGGCAACAGACACAGCCAUUGCCCCCACCUCCACCACAGCCUGCCCAGCUCUCCGUCCAGCAACAGGCAGCUCAGCCAACCCGCUGGGUAGCACCUCGGAACCGUGGCAGUGGGUUUGGUCAUAACGGGGUGGAUGGUAAUGGAGUAGGACAGUCUCAGGCUGGAUCUGGAUCUACUCCUUCAGAACCUCACCCAGUGUUGGAGAAGCUACGGUCCAUUAAUAAUUAUAACCCUAAGGAUUUUGACUGGAAUCUGAAACAUGGCCGGGUUUUCAUCAUUAAGAGCUACUCUGAGGACGAUAUCCACCGUUCCAUUAAGUAUAAUAUCUGGUGCAGCACAGAGCAUGGUAACAAGAGACUGGAUGCUGCUUAUCGCUCCAUGAACGGGAAAGGCCCCGUUUACUUACUUUUCAGUGUCAACGGCAGUGGACACUUCUGUGGCGUUGCGGAAAUGAAAUCUGCUGUGGACUACAACACAUGUGCAGGUGUGUGGUCCCAGGACAAAUGGAAGGGUCGUUUUGAUGUCAGGUGGAUUUUUGUGAAGGACGUUCCCAAUAGCCAGCUGCGACACAUUCGCCUAGAGAACAACGAGAAUAAACCAGUGACCAACUCCAGGGACACUCAGGAAGUGCCUCUGGAAAAGGCUAAGCAGGUGUUGAAAAUCAUAGCCGGCUACAAGCACACCACUUCCAUUUUUGAUGACUUCUCACACUAUGAGAAACGCCAAGAGGAAGAAGAAAGUGUUAAAAAGAUUUGGAAGGACAUUAAAAGCUGCAGGGGCUAAGGAAGUCUCAAAGAAGGGAAGAGAUUUUGAACUGUAUCUUGAAGGACAGAAGGCUAGACAUUCUUGUCUUGAAGAGUAAUAAAAGCAUAGGAAUGAGAUUUAAUCAAGAAGAGUCCAGAUUUCCUAAAGUCAGAGGAACGUCAAGGCCGUGGGAAAUAAGGCAGUUCUGCACAGACCACAGCAACGGUUUCAUCUGCAUAUCCCUAAAGAGGAAAAAAAAUGACCUUGGAGAAAAUUAGGACUUUUUUUCUUAAUUUCAUUGACUUCAGAGACGAUUGCAGAAUUGCAGUUUAAGUAUUGGAAUUUCACAAAAGACAUAGGACUUAACUGGAAAGUGGAAAAAAAAAGAAAAAGAAAAAAACUAAAAAAAUCCCUCUAGGUAGCUUAGGUGAAAAAUGUCCCUUUUAUUUUGGUUUUGGUUGUGAUUUCAGAGCAUUCUGCUUUUUUUUCUUUGUCUUUUUAUUAUGUUUUCGGAUUUUAAAGUCCGUAAGUGCAUACAGUUUUCUCUAAUUUUUAAACCCUUUCCUCCCCCCAUUUUGACAUUUGCACUUGGAGAACACCUGAGUUUUGAAGGUAUGGGCCUGCCUCCACCCCAGAAAGGGGGAAUUUGGUUUUUCCCUUCCGAACUGGAAGAACAUUUUUAUGAAGAAUUUUUGUGUUGGAGAAUUUAACAGUGUUACCCAAGGUUGUGUCUAAGGGUGGUUCAUUUUCUCUGACCCUUUGUUACUCAAAGUAAAGUACUAGGAUUCCUAAGAAAUGUUCUGUUCUUGUACAUUAUACUGAUUGAGUCAGGAUUAAUUUUAUUUCACAGCUAAGAACAGUGGUAAAAACUUGUUUACAGAAAUGCAUUUUGGAAGAGAAAAAUAUUGUAAAAUGUGUAGUGAAUGUUUCUUCAGUUUCUUGUUCAUCCAAUGAGGAAAGGGCAUUGCCUUUCUUUUUACCAUUAAUCACUUCUCAAUAAACGUGAGAUCCUGUUGAGCAUCA